GUAGGGAAUCUUCGGCAAUGGACGAAAGUCUGACCGAGCAACGCCGCGUGAGUGAAGAAGGUUUUCGGAUCGUAAAACUCUGUUGGUAGAGAAGAACGUUGGUGAGAGUGGAAAGCUCAUCAAGUGACGGUAACUACCCAGAAAGGGACGGCUAACUACGUGCCAGCAGCCGCGGUAAUACGUAGGUCCCGAGCGUUGUCCGGAUUUAUUGGGCGUAAAGCGAGCGCCGGUGGUUUAUUAAGUCUGGUGUAAAAGGCAGUGGCUCAACCAUUGUAUGCAUUGGAAACUGGGAGACUUGAGUGCAGGAGAGGAGAGUGGAAUUCCAUGUGUAGCGGUGAAAUGCGUAGAUAUAUGGGGGAACACCGGUGGCGAAAGCGGCUCUCUGGCCUGUAACUGACACUGAGGCUCGAAAGCGUGGGGAGCAAACAGGAUUAGAAACCCCUGUAGUCC
rnacentral:rRNA from 1 species